rnacentral:rRNA from 1 species
CGUGAGCAACCUGCCCUCCACUUCGGGAUAAGCCUUGGAAACGGGGUCUAAUACCGGAUAUGAGCAUCCAUCGCAUGGUGGGUGUUGGAAAGUUUUUCGGUGGGGGAUGGGCUCGCGGCCUAUCAGCUUGUUGGUGGGGUGAUGGCCUACCAAGGCGUCGACGGGUAGCCGGCCUGAGAGGGCGACCGGCCACACUGGGACUGAGACACGGCCCAGACUCCUACGGGAGGCAGCAGUGGGGAAUAUUGCACAAUGGGCGAAAGCCUGAUGCAGCGACGCCGCGUGAGGGAUGACGGCCUUCGGGUUGUAAACCUCUUUCAGCAGGGAAGAAGCGCAAGUGACGGUACCUGCAGAAGAAGCGCCGGCUAACUACGUGCCAGCAGCCGCGGUAAUACGUAGGGCGCAAGCGUUGUCCGGAAUUAUUGGGCGUAAAGAGCUCGUAGGCGGUUUGUCGCGUCUGGUGUGAAAUCCCGAGGCUCAACCUCGGGCUUGCAUCGGGUACGGGCAGACUAGAGUGCGGUAGGGGAGACUGGAAUUCCUGGUGUAGCGGUGGAAUGCGCAGAUAUCAGGAGGAACACCGAU